CAGUCCAGGAACUUUGGGAGCCACGGGUUACUGUGCAGACAUGGCCAAGUCCAAGAACCACAGCGCACACAACCAAUCCCAGAAAUGGCACAGAAAAGACAUUAAGAAACCUCAGUCACAAAAAUAUGAAUCUCUUAAGGGGAAAGACCCCAAGUUCCUGAGGAACAUGCUUUUUGCCAAGAAGCACAACAAGACAGGCCUGAAGAAAAUGCAGACCAACAAUGCCAAGGCCAUGAGUGCACGUGCUGAGGCUAUCAAGGCCCUUGUAAAGCCCAAGGAGGUCAAGCCCAAGAUCCCAAAGAGCACCAGCUGCAAGCUUGAUUGUCUUGCCUACAUCACCUACCCCAAGCUCGGGAAGCGUGCUCAUGCCCUCAUUGCCAAGGGUCUAAGGCUGUACCAGCCAAACAUCAAGGCAAAGGCUCAAACCAAAGUCUAGGAUGCAGUUUCAGCUGCAGCUCUGGUUUCAGCUUCAGUUCCAGCUCCAGCUCAGGCUCUGAAAGGUGCCCAGGCCCCACAAAGGCUCUGGAACACAGGGUUGGGGGAGCAGAGCAGGACUUCUCAGUCCCAGCAGGUAACCAUGGGUAGGACAACAAGGAAUAUCCUGCACCCUGCCCCCAGCUUCUCUACUGUCACAACAUGA